ensembl:lncRNA
GGGACUGCGUGGGCUUUAAGGUCUCUCCAACCCGAGCCCGUCUGUGGUUCUGCGAUUGUAUGAACUUCCCCCUUGUAUUUAAAGAUCAAAAACAACAGAAGCCAGCUGAGUAAAGCUGCCCCGGGUGGUACCCAAACACUGCUGGAUGCAGAAGCAGAUGUAAGCGUGGAAGAAAACCUUGAAGGAACAGAUAACCGAGGAUACCAAUUAGCUCUCUGGGAGGCUUUGCAUUUGUUCCCUGGGAAAGCUGUCGCUAUCUCAGGUGUAGCAGUGGUUUGCAGCGCAGAGCUAGUUUUAGUUGACGGCGUGGGUACUAACAGGUGUAGCAAGAGCAGCUACAGGCUUGCUGAGGGGCCGGGGAAGGCCUGGGCGCUGGGCCCCAAUAGCCAUGGCCGUAGCGGUAGGAGCUCCUCGCUGGCAGCUGGCUCCGGUAUGCCUCCAGUGCUCUGACAGCAACGUGGCCAUGCAGUGAGAAGCACUCCUGCUCGCUGUGCACCAUUAUGUUGAUGGUGUCGUGUCAUCUGUUCCCCGCAGGAGCCUAGGGCUGCAGUGCAGGAGGAUGGGAUAAACGAGGAAUUCACUCUUUCCACUUCUGUAGUCUUUUGAGUCGCGUUCCGAAUCGUAUCGAGCAGCUAUCUUUUGCAAAACCGCCUACUCUUUUAAAAUGAAAUCUAAACAGAGCUUGAAAAUAAAAGGUUGUUAAUGAAAAUACUGCAUCAAAUGGAUCCACACAGAUGUUGGGAGGGCCCGGUUGAAAAUUCUUCUCAGUACAACAAGGAACAAUUGAUAAAUGUUUCUAAAGGAGAAUGUCACGUGGAGUGGUGUGAAAACCGUGUAACAAUCAAGACUGUUACCUCUUACCUAUGAAGAAGGGUAUGUGGAACCUGAUUUAACACAGAUAUAGGCUUGAACAAUUCUAUCAGUUUCCAAUCUUCAUUUCAAUCACUGCAAUUUUGUGUGUAACCAUAACCUCGGUAAUUGUCUUCUGUAUCUCAGUGAUUAAAGCUCAUUCAGUAUUCAGCCAAGUUUCAAGAAAACGUUUUCUUUCCUUGCUAAGACAAUAUGUAGACAGAAAUCAGAGACUUUUAACGGUCCCAGAUUCAGUGAGGGAGAUGUUGGCACCGUCUAAUACCCAUAUAGCUGUGAUAAACUCCUUUGCAAAAACAUGACAAUGUAGGUUGAUUCUUGAAGAUAUUUCCUCACUUUGUAG